UACGUAGGGUGCGAGCGUUAAUCGGAAUUACUGGGCGUAAAGCGUGCGCAGGCGGUUUUGUAAGCCAGAUGUGAAAGCCCCGGGCUUAACCUGGGAAUGGCAUUUGGGACUGCAAGGCUUGAGUGCGGCAGAGGAGACUGGAAUUCCUGGUGUAGCAGUGAAAUGCGCAGAUAUUAGGAGGAACACCGGUGGCGAAGGCGCCACUCUGGGCCGAAACUGACGCUGAGGAGCGAAAGCGUGGGUAGCAAACAGG
rnacentral:rRNA from 1 species